GAAAUUAAUUUGACCAUUUGAAGAAUAAAUCUCAAAAUAAUUGAUUUCAAAACAAAAUAAAAAUUACCUUUUUGUUGCAUUUGGAAUAAAGCAAAAACAAAGAUGAUGACAGGAGCUGCUACACGUGAGAGGGGCAAGAGGCUUGUGAGAGGAGCUGCUUCUGAUGAGAGGAGUAAGAUGAACAGCUUGUGGGCGCAGCGAGAAAUGAAAAGGGAAAGUAAGAAUAUUUUAGUAAUUAAGUUUUUAUUACAAUCUUACCCUUUUGUCUUCACUUGUUUUCAAAGAAAGAGAAUGGUUUUUUUUUGUCUUUUACAACUAGAUGUGGUAUGCUAAUGAACACCUUCUCAUUUAUGGGUAGGUGGUCUCUAGCAUUACCCAUAAAUAUAUGAGAAAUGAUAAGUGAACACAAAAAUCCAAACACAAUACAGACACCAUACAUCACUGUAGCUUUAUACAUCUUUUUUUUUUUUUUUUUCAAUUCUUUUCCUUCUCUCAGUCAUUUCUCCCUGUUCAACACCAUCCCUUCGCCAUCAUCCCCGACGUCAUCACCGGCGUCGUAACUUCCAUUUCUCUCCUAGUCAUGCUCUCUCUCAAUCGCCGGUGACCACCGCCGUUAUCUUCGUAGAUAAAACAGAUUGGUUGUCUGAUGUGAGGGUGGAGGUGAGGACGAAUUUGGUUUCUCCAUCUCUAUCUCACUGGAUUUCUGUCGCCUAAUCUAUCUCAGUAAUGACGCGGUGGUGGUGAAAACGGGUCUCCGACGAGAGGGAGAAGAGGACUUCGGCGGCGACGCGUUCAGAUCUGAACGAAUUUCGUCAGUAGUGACGACGAUGGUGACUGUCACUGAUAAGAACGAUGGUGUUUGUGAUGGUGGAGGGUGCGGUGGCGAUGACUGAGGUCGGUGGUUGGGAGAGACAGUGGUGUGGACUGUGGGGAGGAAUAGAGAGACCGCAGGAAGAUGAGAAGCGCAGGGAAGAUGAGAAGAAGAUGGGUUUGUUGUGAUUUGACAAAAUUGCCCCUAAUUUAUGGUUGAAAUGUCUAAACUAUCCAUGGUGUUGUAUUUGUGUCCAAUCAUUUGUGUUUAAUUAUCAUUGCUGUAAAUAUAUAUAUGUGUGUGUGUGUUUUUUUUUUCUUUAUCAUUUUAAAAGUGUAACAAACUAAAUUAGUAUAUUUAUACUUAAUUUUUUAUUAUUCCAAUU
rnacentral:lncRNA from 1 species